rnacentral:rRNA from 1 species
UAAUCGCGAAUCAGCAUGUCGCGGUGAAUACGUUCCCGGGCCUUGUACACACCGCCCGUCACACCAUGAGAGUUGGCAAUACCCAACGUACGUGAUCUAACCCGCAAGGGAGGAAGCGUCCUAAGGUAGGGUCAGCGAUUGGGGUGAAGUCGUAACAAGGUAGC